rnacentral:rRNA from 1 species
UACAGAGGGUGCAAGCGUUAAUCGGAAUUACUGGGCGUAAAGCGCGUGUAGGCUGCUGCGAAAGUCAGGUGUGAAAGCCCCGGGCUCAACCUGGGAAGUGCACUUGAAACCUCGCAGCUCGAAUGCCGGAGAGGGUAGCGGAAUUCCUGGUGUAGCGGUGAAAUGCGCAGAUAUCAGGAGGAACACCGAUGGCGAAGGCAGGGUCUCUGGGCAUUAACUGACGCUGAGGAGCGAAAGCAUGGGGAGCGAACAGGA